ensembl:lncRNA
UGUCACGGCUGUUUGACUCAGACAGAGGUGGAUAUGGUAAUGUUUGUUGAGUCGGCUGCAGGGGAAAUGACAUCAGCACACGGAGCGCCUGGGGAAAGAGGAGCGGUAGAGCUCAACGGGAGCGUGUUUGAGAGAGAGCCACUCAUCUACAACACUACAGCACCGCAGCUCUGAACACACUCAGACUGCUGGAGAAACACCGAUGGAGAUGUCCUGUCUCUAGUGAAAUAUACUCUACAGCUCAUUCCUGCAGGAUAUACUAGCACCAUUUUCCUGACAUGCUUGAUUUUUCACAUAUAAAGAAAAGUCUAGGUGUCAUUCGUGUCUAUGAGAG